UACGUAGGUGGCAAGCGUUGUCCGGAUUUAUUGGGCGUAAAGCGAGCGCAGGCGGUCUUUUAAGUCUGAUGUGAAAGCCCACGGCUUAACCGUGGAGGGUCAUUGGAAACUGGGAGACUUGAGUGCAGAAGAGGAAAGCGGAAUUCCAUGUGUAGCGGUGAAAUGCGUAGAUAUAUGGAGGAACACCAGUGGCGAAGGCGGCUUUCUGGUCUGUAACUGACGCUGAGGCUCGAAAGCGUGGGGAGCAAACAGG
rnacentral:rRNA from 1 species